GCACUUCUGAGGCGUCCCACAACAGGACGAAACGGCCGUCCAGUGC
rfam:Schistosoma mattheei strain Denwood, Zambia genome assembly, scaffold: SMTD_scaffold0011435